rnacentral:lncRNA from 1 species
UCAUGGCACAAGCAGCGCAUGCAAAGCCGCAGUCGGCGCUCCUCCGUAUCCAAGGCGGUCAGCUCUCUCGCGAAACAUGAGCUCUGUGCAAGGUUCCAGCCCGGGGGAAGGAAAGACAGACAAACAUGAAGAUGAUAGAAAAGUUAAGACCUCCAUAACAAUACGCCAAGUCGUCUGUCUGGUGGUGAUCAGCGGAACGAGUCUCCUGAACGGUAUGCUGUCUGGUUGGGCUGCGGUCUUGCCGAAGCUGCAGGAGGACAGGAGCAGGUUCACGGUGACGGAGGAAGACGUGUCCUGGAUCG